AACGAACGCUGGCGGCAGGCCUAACACAUGCAAGUCGAGCGAGGACUUCGGUCCUAGCGGCGGACGGGUGAGUAACGCGUGGGAACGUGCCCUUUGCUUCGGAAUAGCCCUGGGUAACUGGGAGUAAUACCGGAUGAGCCCUUUGGGGGAAAGAUUUAUCGGGGAAGGAUCGGCCCGCGUUGGAUUAGGUAGUUGGUGGGGUAAUGGCCUACCAAGCCGACGAUCCAUAGCUGGUUUGAGAGGAUGAUCAGCCACACUGGGACUGAGACACGGCCCAGACUCCUACGGGAGGGAGCAGUGGGGAAUCUUAGACAAUGGGGGAAACCCUGAUCAAGCCAUGCCGCGUGAGCGAUGAAGGCCUUAGGGUUGUAAAGCUCUUUCAGCUGGGAAGAUAAUGACGGUACCAGCAGAAGAAGCCCCGGCUAACUCCGUG
rnacentral:rRNA from 1 species